rnacentral:rRNA from 1 species
UACAUGGGGUGCAAACGUUGCUCGGAAUUAUUGGGCGUAAAGCGCACGUAGGCGGUCCGUUAAGUCGGAUGUGAAAUCCCUCGGCUCAACCGAGGAAGUGCAUCCGAAACUGGCGGGCUUGAGUACGAAAGAGGGUCGCGGAAUUCCCGGUGUAGAGGUGAAAUUCGUAGAUAUCGGGGAGGAACACCGGUGGCGAAGGCGGCGACCUGGGUCGAUACUGACGCUGAGGUGCGAAAGCGUGGGGAGCAAACAGG